CCCAGCAUCAAGGGUGUGAAUCGUUCGGAUUCAAUUUAAUCACAUACCACAGAGCAAAGUAUUUACAAACACUCUUAAAUUUUUAGACCAAAAUGAUAGCCAUUGAAAUGGCUCAAACGUCCUUGACAACUUUACUAAAAAGCUAUUGUGUCUGCACAUUACACCAAAACUUAAAAUAGCAGGAACAAUUGGUCCAAAUAUUACACCAUAGCUUAAUAACCAAUCUAUCUUAAUGCUACACCAGAACUUAAUUCGAAACAUCACAGGAAAAAGAUUGCAUCUAAACCAAAACCAAGUAAAGUACCAACAAGGACUAUCAGUAAUCAUGGAUAUUUACUCUGAAAAUGUGAUACAUACAAAGUUCAUUAACAACAACCACAAUGUGACUCUUUAGGACUAUCAGUAAUCAUGGAUAUUUACUCUGAAAAUGUGAUACAUACAAAGUUCAUUAACAACAACCACAAUGUGACUCUUUGGACAUAAGUUAAUCUCGACAAUGGCAGGGAAGGGAACAAUCCACAACAUCAUCAGACUUAAACCCGCCACACAAAAACAAACACUAGCAUAAUGUAAUUGUUACGGGAGAACGGUCAUAU
rnacentral:lncRNA from 1 species